UUCCCCCUUAGAGUGUGAUUCCUGGCUCAGGAUGAACGCUGGCGGCGUGCCUAACACAUGCAAGUCGAACGGAGCUGUGAGAGCUUGCUUUCACAGCUUAGUGGCGGACGGGCGAGUAACGCGUGAGCAACCUGCCUUUCAGAGGGGGACAGCGGUUGGAAACGACCGCUAAUACCGCAUAACACCAGCGAGGUCACAUGGCCAUGCUGUCAAAGGAGCAAUCCGCUGAAAGAUGGGCUCGCGUCCGAUUAGCUAGAUGGUGAGGUAAAGGCUCACCAUGGCGACGAUCGGUAGCCGAACUGAGAGGUUGAUCGGCCGCAUUGGGACUGAGACACGGCCCAGACUCCUACGGGAGGCAGCAGCGGGGAAUAUUGGUCAAUGGGGGAAACCCUGAACCAGCAACGCCGCGUGAGGGAAGAAGGCCUUCGGGUUGUAAACCUAAGUUGUCAGGGACGAAGAAAGUGACGGUACCUGAAGAGUAAGCUCCGGCUAACUACGUGCCAGCAGCCGCGGUAAUACGUAGGGAGCGAGCGUUGUCCGGAAUUACUGGGUGUAAAGGGUGCGUAGGCGGGAAUGCAAGUCUGACGUGAAAUACCGGGGCUCAACCCCGGGAUUGCGUUGGAAACUGUAUUUCUUGAGUGAAGUAGAGGCAGGCGGAAUUCCUAGUGUAGCGGUGAAAUGCGUAGAUAUUAGGAGGAACACCAGAGGCGAAGGCGGCCUGCUGGGCUUUAACUGACGCUGAGGCACGAAAGCAUGGGGAGCAAACAGGAUUAGAUACCCUGGUAGUCCAUGCCGUAAACGAUGAUUGCUAGGUGUGGGGGGACUGACCCCUUCCGUGCCGGAGUAAACACAAUAAGCAAUCCACCUGGGGAGUACGGCCGCAAGGCUGAAACUCAAAGGAAUUGACGGGGACCCGCACAAGCAGUGGAGUAUGUGGUUUAAUUCGACGCAACGCGAAGAACCUUACCAGGCCUUGACAUCCCACUGACCGGUCCUUAACCGGACCUUCUCUUCGGAGCAGAGGUGACAGGUGGUGCAUGGUUGUCGUCAGCUCGUGUCGUGAGAUGUUGGGUUAAGUCCCGCAACGAGCGCAACCCUUGCCAUUAGUUGCCAUCAUUCAGUUGGGCACUCUAGUGGGACUGCCGGGGACAACUCGGAGGAAGGUGGGGAUGACGUCAAAUCAUCAUGCCCCUUAUGAUUUGGGCUACACACGUGCUACAAUGGCGUAAACAAAGGGAAGCGAGCCCGCGAGGGGGAGCAAAUCCCAAAAAUAACGUCUCAGUUCGGAUUGUAGUCUGCAACUCGACUACAUGAAGCUGGAAUCGCUAGUAAUCGCGAAUCAGAAUGUCGCGGUGAAUACGUUCCCGGGUCUUGCACACACCGCCCGUCA
rnacentral:rRNA from 1 species